rnacentral:rRNA from 1 species
AGUGAACGCUGGCGGUAGGCCUAACACAUGCAAGUCGAACGGCAGCACAGUAAGAGCUUGCUCUUACGGGUGGCGAGUGGCGGACGGGUGAGGAAUACAUCGGAAUCUACUUUUUCGUGGGGGAUAACGUAGGGAAACUUACGCUAAUACAGCAUACGACCUACGGGUGAAAGCAGGGGAUCUUCGGACCUUGCGCGAUUGAAUGAGCCGAUGUCGGAUUAGCUAGUUGGCGGGGUAAAGGCCCACCAAGGCGACGAUCCGUAGCUGGUCUGAGAGGAUGAGCAGCCACACUGGAACUGAGACACGGUCCAGACUCCUACGGGAGGCAGCAGUGGGGAAUAUUGGACAAUGGGCGCAAGCCUGAUCCAGCCAUACCGCGUGGGUGAAGAAGGCCUUCGGGUUGUAAAGCCCUUUUGUUGGGAAAGAAAAGCAGCAGGUUAAUACCCCGCUGUUCUGACGGUACCCAAAGAAUAAGCACCGGCUAACUUCGUG